CCCUUAGAUGUCCGGGGCUGCACGCGCGCUGCACUGAAGGAAUCAGCGUGCUAAAACCAUUGUCGAAAGGCAUUGGUAAACCCAUUAAAAUCCUACGUGAUUGGGAUCGGGAAUUGCAAUUAUUUCCCUUGAACGAGGAAUUCCCAGUAAGUGUGGGUCAUAAGCUCGCGUUGAUUACGUCCCUGCCCUUUGUACACACCGCCCGUCGCUGCCCGGGACUGAGCCGUUUCGAGAAAAGCGGGGACUGCUGCUGUCGGGGCUUUCGGGCCUUGGCUUCGGUGGAAACCGCUUUAAUCGCAGUGGCUUGAACCGGGCAAAANUCGUAACA
rnacentral:rRNA from 1 species